CUUAACACCUUUCCUAUGUUCUAUUAACAGAGAACAUCUUUUUUUCAAGCUAUUAACUCAGGAUGGCCUAGAGAGCAGGGCCCUCCUGGACCAAUUGGAGAGAUGGGGAAGCCUGGCCCAUUUGUAAGUGCAGUCUUUACAAACUAAAGUACAUGUAGUACAUGUAAACCCAGGUUAGUGUUGGUUGAAAUAUUUAUUCCUAUAUUGUGUGUGUGUGCACUUGAAUAAGGGCAUUCCAGGAGACCCGGGAGAGAGGGGGAUACCUGGACGCAGAGGCGACAUGGGCAGCUUUGGGCCUAAGGGAGUGUCUGGACGAGCAGGGAAAUGGGGGAGAGAUGGACAGCCUGGGCCUGAUGGAACUCCAGGACCUCCAGGAUUACAUGGCUUAAAGGGUCCCAGGGGUGACAAAGGAGAGUGUGCCCCUACUGGAGAGACGGGGGAAGAGGGUUUCCCUGGUGCUCCAGGCCCUCGUGGCAAUAUAGGGAGAGAAGGAGAGAAGGUAACUGAUCAUGUAGUUCUCAGUACGAGUGAAUUUAAGAGAUAUGUUUAAAAACACACAUGCACUCUCCAAGGGGGUCAUGCAUUACCAAGUCUGAAAUAUAUCGCCCCCAUGUGGAAAGAAAUGGAACAUAAAAAGUUGUGAAUGGGAUUGUGUCCAAUCUUUGUCUUUUCAUGUACUUAGUAUGGCUAUGGCUGUUUGUAUCUGAUGCAAUUUACCAUUUGCAUUAAUACUUACAUUGUAAGUAUCAAAUAUUGGCAUAGUAAUACCAUACUAGUUGAAAAAACUGGGUUACAUUUGAGAAGAAUGUGAUGCAUAUAUACUUCUGUGUUGAGAAGAAAUGUUCCACAUAGUGUAUUGCACUGUUGUAUUUCCUUGACUCUUUACCCUUUCAUCAGGGACUGAAAAUGAAAACAUGAAGUGGUGAGUAUUUUUGAGCUAUGCUGUUUUGUUUUCCAGGGCUCCACAGGAGAACCAGGGUUACCAGGACCACUUGGUCCGCCUGUAAGUACAGCAGUAAUACACAGAUGUGUCAAAAAAGUGUAAACAACAGGUACUCAUCUACAGGUACUUCGUACUUGAUUAAUUAAUGAGUACAUCUAUCUGUAUGUAUAGUUACUAGAUGAACAUGAUUUAGGGUUAGUAAAAUGU